AAAGAAGGGAUCUUUUUGCUUCUCUGGUAAAUCAAGCUGAGACUGCUUUUCUGGAAGAGGAGUUUCCCUCCCCAAGAAGCUCCUGAGCUCAGUGACGGCCCAGUGGAAGAAUUUUUACUUCAACAAUGUUGGAACUCUAACCAGAAUCAGAAAUGUUACACAAAAGUAUGGAGUUGUUCUAGCCCUCAUCUUUGAGGCGUUGGAUUUAAGCAUUGCAGAGGAAGAUGUGUAACAGCACAGGAAUCAAGGCUGAAAGAAGCUGAAGGCUGAAAGAAGCCUUCUAGGAAUGCUUCCAAGUAUCUUCCAAGUCUUAAUUUGAAGGCACAUUAAGAUGAACUGCAAGCAUGCAACCCUCCACAAGUCUGGGUUAAACCAGGCACUGUUCCUUCAGAAAGGAAGAAGGGCAGAAGUGUGAGUCUUAGUUUGGAGAAGAGGA